rnacentral:rRNA from 1 species
AGUGAACGCUGGCGGUAGGCCUAACACAUGCAAGUCGAACGGCAGCACAGUAAGAGCUUGCUCUUACGGGUGGCGAGUGGCGGGCGGGUGAGGAAUACAUCGGAAUCUACUUUUUCGUGGGGGAUAACGUAGGGAAACUUCCGCUAAUACCGCAUACGACCUACGGGUGAAAGCAGGGGAUCUUCGGACCUUUCGCGAUUGAAUGAGCCGAUGUCGGAUUAGCUAGUUGGCGGGGUAAAGGCCCACCAAGGCGACGAUCCGUAGCUGGUCUGAGAGGAUGAUCAGCCACACUGGAACUGAGACACGGUCCAGACUCCUACGGGAGGCAGCAGUGGGGAAUAUUCGACAAUGGGCGCAAGCCUGAUCCAGCAAUACCGCGUGGGUGAAGAAGGCCUUCGGGUUGUAAAGCCCUUUUGUUGGGAAAGAAAAGCAGCAGGUUAAUACCCCGCCGUUCUGACGGUACCCAAAGAAUAAGCACCGGCUAACUUCGUG